rnacentral:lncRNA from 1 species
UCCUAUGUGGGGGCUGGCAAUGGUAAGUUCGGAGCAGGUCAAGACCAACCUUGUUUCUCUGGAAAACGCUGUGCAUCUCUCCAGCCUUUUCUUCUGAGCUGCUAAGUCACUGGCACCUUUAGAAGACUGUCAGAAGCUGAGGUUAUUAAAGACCUCAAGUCACAAACACAAUCACUGGCACUGUGGGCCACAGGGCGAUUGAGGGAAAGUGGGUUGGAUCUACCGAAAGCAGGCUGAGUCCCUGCUGAGGACAGACCAUCCACACCCCUUACUGUGCACCGUGGGAAGCUGCUUCCAGGGAGGGGCGGCCUGGACGAAAGAUCUGUGGCCGACACUGUAAUCCCAGCCGCGGAGACUGGGAACCAUUACAGGAAACAACCUCACCAAGUCCCCAGCAUCACUUUACCCACUGUAAAGAGCUCAGGCUCAGCAUGCCCAGCCUUACCACGUUCCCUCAACUCAAAUAAAUAAUACAUUAAAAAAAUGAAAAAGCAUUAAUGCCAUUGCCAGAGGGUCAGGCAAUACAUACAUUAGUUUCAUUUAUCAAAAU